rnacentral:misc_RNA from 1 species
GAAAUGCGAUAAGUAAUGUGAAUUGCAGAAUUCAGUGAAUCAUCGAAUCUUUGAACGCACAUUGCGCCCACCAGUAUUCUGGCGGGCAUGCCUGUUCGAGCGUCAUUACAACCCUCAGGCCCCCGGGCCUGGCGUUGGGGAUCGGCGGAAGCCCCCUGCGGGCACAACGCCGUCCCCCAAAUACAGUGGCGGUCCCGCCGCAGCUUCCAUUGCGUAGUAGCUAACACCUCGCAACUGGAGAGCGGCGCGGCCACGCCGUAUAACACCCAACUUCUGAAUGUUGACCUCGAAUCAGGUAGGAAUACCCGCUGAACUUAAGC